GCCCUGGCAGUCAGAGGCGAUGAAGGGCGUGCUAAUCUGCGAUAAGCGCCGGUAAGGUGAUAUGAACCGUUAUAACCGGCGAUACCCGAAUGGGGAAACCCAGUGUGAUUCGUCACACUAUCAUUAACUGAAUCCAUAGGUUAAUGAGGCGAACCGGGGGAACUGAAACAUCUAAGUACCCCGAGGAAAAGAAAUCAACCGAGAUUCCCCCAGUAGCGGCGAGCGAACGGGGAGGAGCCCAGAGCCUGAAUCAGCAUGUGUGUUAGUGGAAGCGUCUGGAAAGGCGCGCGAUACAGGGUGACAGCCCCGUACACAAAAGCGCAUGUGCUGUGAGCUCGAUGAGUAGGGCGGGACACGUGGUAUCCUGUCUGAAUAUGGGGGGACCAUCCUCCAAGGCUAAAUACUCCUGACUGACCGAUAGUGAACCAGUACCGUGAGGGAAAGGCGAAAAGAACCCCGGCGAGGGGAGUGAAAAAGAACCUGAAACCGUGUACGUACAAGCAGUGGGAGCACAGGUUUACCUGUGUGACUGCGUACCUUUUGUAUAAUGGGUCAGCGACUUAUAUUCUGUAGCAAGGUUAACCGAAUAGGGGAGCCGGAGGGAAACCGAGUCUUAAUUGGGCGUUAAGUUGCAGGGUAUAGACCCGAAACCCGGUGAUCUAGCCAUGGGCAGGUUGAAGGUUGGGUAACACUAACUGGAGGACCG
rnacentral:rRNA from 1 species